UGCAAGUCGAGCGAACAGACGAGGAGCUUGCUCUUCUGACGUUAGCGGCGGACGGGUGAGUAACACGUGGGUAACCUACCUAUAAGACUGGGAUAACUCCGGGAAACCGGGGCUAAUACCGGAUAACACAUGAAACCGCAUGGUUUCAUGAUGAAAGACGGUUUUGCUGUCACUUAUAGAUGGACCCGCGGCGUAUUAGCUAGUUGGUAAGGUAACGGCUUACCAAGGCAACGAUACGUAGCCGACCUGAGAGGGUGAUCGGCCACACUGGAACUGAGACACGGUCCAGACUCCUACGGGAGGCAGCAGUAGGGAAUCUUCCGCAAUGGGCGAAAGCCUGACGGAGCAACGCCGCGUGAGUGAUGAAGGGUUUCGGCUCGUAAAACUCUGUUAUUAGGGAAGAACAAACGUGUAAGUAACUGUGCACGUCUUGACGGUACCUAAUCAGAAAGCCACGGCUAACUACGUGCCAGCAGCCGCGGUAAUACGUAGGUGGCAAGCGUUAUCCGGAAUUAUUGGGCGUAAAGCGCGCGUAGGCGGUUUCUUAAGUCUGAUGUGAAAGCCCACGGCUCAACCGUGGAGGGUCAUUGGAAACUGGGAAACUUGAGUGCAGAAGAGGAAAGUGGAAUUCCAUGUGUAGCGGUGAAAUGCGCAGAGAUAUGGAGGAACACCAGUGGCGAAGGCGACUUUCUGGUCUGUAACUGACGCUGAUGUGCGAAAGCGUGGGGAUCAAACAGGA
rnacentral:rRNA from 1 species